UACGGAGGGAGCUAGCGUUGUUCGGAAUUACUGGGCGUAAAGCGCACGUAGGCGGCUUUGUAAGUUAGAGGUGAAAUCCCGGGGCUCAACCUCGGAACUGCCUUUGAUACUGGGUGUCUGGAGUGUGGAAGAGGUGAGUGGAAUUCCGAGUGUAGAGGUGAAAUUCGUAGAUAUUCGGAGGAACACCAGUGGCGAAGGCGGCUCACUGGUCCACAACUGACGCUGAGGUGCGAAAGCGUGGGGAGCAAACAGG
rnacentral:rRNA from 1 species